CACCGGCGGCUCGAGUGGUGGCCACUUUUAUUGGGUCUAAAGCGUCCGUAGCCGGCUUGGCAAGUCCCCUGGGAAAUCUGGCGGCUUAACCGUCAGGCGUCCAGAGGAUACUGCCAGGCUUGGGACCGGGAGAGGUGAGAGGUACCUCAGGGGUAGGGGUGAAAUCUUGUGAUCCCUGAGGGACCACCAGUGGCGAAGGCGGCUCUCUGGCCAGUUACUGACGCUCAUGCGCGAAAGCUGGGGGAGCGAACCGG
rnacentral:rRNA from 1 species